AUGAUAUCUACCUGCUUACAUAACGCCGGCACUCCCUUCCUGCCCUCACCUCUGCGUGAAUCCCAAACAUCAGCGAGAGAAUACAGUUCUGUUACACAGGGCAUGUGGGAUAGGAGAGGUGAUGGCCAUAGCAUGGAUGGAGUGGAAGAGAUGGGAACAGGCCUUGCUUCUCAUCAUCCCCUGUCCUGGCGCUUGCAAAGCAAUGCCCAUGGCAAGCAGAGCCACUGCCAGGGUUCCAGUCCCCAGCCCUGGCCAGGUUUCUUCAAGCACACGUCGAGUUUGUCAUCAGGCUUCAUGCAGGAUCGGCCUUUGUCGCAGCUAAUGGCUGGGAAUGGCUGUGUUGCUACCAAGUAAUGGAAGAGGGGUCAGGGGGCAGAAAUGCUCAGAAAGAUAGAAAUGAAGCAGGAAUUUCGAUUCAGAGCUAAUGGAUGGGGUUUGGAGGCUUCUAUUAGCAGAAAUUAUCACGGUAUUAAUGUAUUUCAGGCAGCAUUUUUUACAGUUGAAUACAGUGUUAUUUUCUGAGUUAUCCAUUCCCUGACAAGUGGUUAUAAUCAAAACUGUCUGUGAGCACUAUUAUCAGAAACUUACUAUUAUGUGCUGUAGGGAAAAAUAUCAGGGAAUGAUGCAGUGCCAGAAAGCUAUUAUAUGUUUUUAAGACCUACUGCAACACCAAGUAUUUAUUUAUGUAUUACUUCUACUUCCUGUAGAAGAAAAUAAUUUGAACUUAAUUUUCUUGUCUUACCCAACUGCUUUGGAAAAUGUACCUCCUGAAGUCAGUCCAUAAUUAUGAUUAACAAUGCGGGCUGGAUCCUCAGUUACUGUAAAUUAGCGUUCCCUCCUUCAUUGAGAUGGAGCAAUGCCAAUUCAUUGCAACAGAGAAAGCUUCCAGUUACUUUAGUACGUCACUUUUCAUCUUUAAGGGUAUCAACAAACCUUCUUUAAUACAGUAUUGUACAGAACUUACUCUGUUUGGCCAGAACAAACUUUAAAGAGGACUAAAUCUAGCAUCACGUUUCUAAAAGUCUUUAAAAUUCUCUUGUACGCAAAAUUAAUCCUUUCAAUAUAUUCUGUUGUUUAAUUAAAUCAACAAAACUGCAAUUGCUCUGUCAUGUGGUCUGGCUUUGUAGGCCACCUUUAUUUUCUUCUUAAAUUUCAGGGUAGCCAUACACUUAAAACUAUUACUGUAAUUCUAGCCUGGCUCUUACUGCUUUUUGUGGAGGAAGGAACUUCAAUGAGACAACAUAGAAAGGAAGUAAUUACCUAAAAAUGUUUAUAUCUGUAUAGCUGACUAUGAAAUAUAAAGAAAAAAAUCAUAAAUCAUAGGGAUUCUGAGGUUAAGGGUAUGAGUAAGCAAUAACAAAUUUGGCACUUUUUGAUUAAUAAGUCCUCCAGAAGGCUAAAGAUUAAUCAGAUUAUUUUGAGUAACACAGUAAAAAACAUAUAUUUUUAAAAGCCUUCUUUUGUGCUGCUCUGCCAUGUUCUCUAUCCAGUUGGCACAAUGAAAAUGGCAGUCCCAGGCUAAGACUAUUGUACAAAACUUCAGAAGUCCUGAGGAUACACUGAUGGGCAGUUCACAUCUGAAAAUGGAUAGAAUCCCUGCAACUUGUUCCUUCCUUUCUCAGCAUCCCUCUUUUUCAUCUUGUGCCUGGAAUUGAACAAACCAAAUCCAAAGAGGUUUUUGGAACAUUCCUAAAUCAGGGAUACUGUGAAGACAAAUGGUAAAUGUCUGUUACCCCAGCUGCUAAGUUAAUUACUGUAAUGGGAAACAUCUUGAGAGAAGCAUUGCAUAUGGUUAUUAGCAAUUAACCCACCACUCCAAAAAUCACAAUUCCUGCUAAUAACAGAACACGGCGCAGCCUUUCUAAUUACAAUCUCUGCACGAGAAUUUCUUUCCAUCAGAAGGGAAUGUUAAAUCCUCUAACUAGCUACGAUUUAAAAAGACUUGGAGAUAUGGAGAAUUAGACAGAAAAAUGAAAAUGGGGACGGGUGGUGUGUCACUGACUCAGAGUUGUAGACAUGCUCAUUCAUAUGUGGAGACACACAGCAACUUUCACAACAUGUUGUGGGAAGACAAAAUCAUCAAUGACUGUUCAUGGGGAGGGAAAUAUGCUUUAAAAUGAAGAGGAUAGCAUGAGACUUCGUGAGAGAUGCCAACUUUUCUACAGAAUUUGUGAUCUCGGUGCUGUAAACAAUAUGCUGAGUUUGAUAGUGCAUAGGAAAGGACCACACUGGAAACAGUAAGAACUUUCUGAUCAAUGAAAGAGGAGAACAAUGCAAACUACGUAUUUUCCAUCCUACAGAAAGUCCGUCAGUACUACAUGGAGGGCAUGAGGUGUGCCUUUUCUGACAGUCAGUAUUCUGUGCAAUUGGCUUAGAUUAUAGCUCACCUGCACAAAGUCACCAAGGGGAAUCGACACUUUAGCUGCUCAGUUCAAAGGCUGGUUUAGCAGAGCAAGAUGGGAUUUAAUUUAUUCCUUUCACCAGGCAGGAAGAGAACUCUUUUGUCAACAUGUUCAGUGCUCAGUUUGGUGAUGGGCACGAUACAGUUUGUAGGUAUCAAGAUCAAAGAUACACAAUUGUAUGGCGAAUAAGUUUCAUGACAGUAACCGUGUCUGGUUGGUCACGGCAGGGACGUGUAAUAUAAAGGAGUCACUAAUGCUGUAUCCACUACCAUUUUUUUCCUGACAUUUCCCGCUGCUACCACUGUAAGAACUAGAAUAAAUGAGUCUGCUUUUACCUCUGUAUUGUCUGU
rnacentral:lncRNA from 1 species